GGGGCCGCGGGCCGGGCUUCUGCCGCGCGCGGGGCCUGAGCGCGGGGCCUGACCGCCCGAGCCAGUCGCUUCCUUCUCCAGUGCGGGCGGGGAUUCCGGCCGGUGACCCGGCGCGGCGGCGGCUGCGCGGAGCGUCUCCCCAGGCGCCUCCGCCUCCGCCUCCGCCUCCGCCUCCAGGAGCUUUGCUGCGCUGGGCCGCGUGCGGGAAGCACUUCCUCAGGAGCGGAGCUCGGGCGCGGGUUUCAGGCAAGGACGGCGCUUGGCUCUGUACCGCGGAUCCGCCUCGGGUGCCUGGAAGAUCGCGGCGGUUCUUAGCGGGUCCGUCUUCGUGAGCCCUCCGGAGAGGCUCAUCAGGCUGCUGGGGCACCAUGGGGAAGACAGUGGGUCGCUGGAGGAGUGGCGCCGGCAGUGGGAUGGUGGGAAGCUGGCCUCAUCCCUGGGGGAAACGCGGUGUUCAGACGGGGAUCCAGACCGUCUCUGCGGUGCGGUGCUGGGGGCUGGUUUCCGCCGGUUCCCCCGCAGGUACCGUCUGAGAACUUGGACUUCAUCAGAUACCGGCCGGGUUGCCCUUUUUGAAGAUCCUCAGGUGCCACUGUCUUUUCUGAGUCCUGAUUUGUAGCUUGUUCCAGAGGCCGUUUAAGGCCCACUCCGGGCCCCUGGGCUCGGCCUCUGUUGCCUCGUGAUGCGCGUGAAGUGCAGGAUUUGCAUCUGCAGGGUCCUACGCGCAAAGAGCGGUGGGUGCUCCUGCCUUCCGCUCCCACUGUCUCUCCCGCGGCCACAGGGCUUGAGUUACACUUGGAGGAGUAGAAGACAGGGUUACUAGAAAGAUGUCAAAACAAGCUGGAACCCAGCAGGCUACGAUCUGGCAAAUGUGGCUUAAAACUUUCUCAGUGUUGGGGCGCCUCCGUGGCUCAGUCGUUGAGCGUCUGCCUUUGGCUCAGGUCAGGAUCCCAGGGUCCUGCGAUCGAGCCCUUGCGU